UACGUAGGGUGCGAGCGUGUCCGGAAUUAUUGGGCGUAAAGAGCUCGUAGGCGGUGUGUCGCGUCGGCCGUGAGAACCUGCAGCUUAACUGUGGGCUUGCGGUCGAUACGGGCAUCACUGGAGUUCGGCAGGAGAGACUGGAAUUCCUGGUGUAGCGGUGAAAUGCGCAGAUAUCAGGAGGAACACCGAUGCGAAGGCAGGUCUCUGGGCAUUAACUGACGCUGAGGAGCGAAAGCAUGGGGAGCGAACAGG
rnacentral:rRNA from 1 species